CCUACGGGUGGCUGCAGUGAGGAAUAUUGGUCAAUGGACGAGAGUCUGAACCAGCCAAGUAGCGUGAAGGAUGACUGCCCUAUGGGUUGUAAACUUCUUUUAUAAAGGAAUAAAACGAGGCACGUGUGCCUUUUUGUAUGUACUUUAUGAAUAAGGAUCGGCUAACUCCGUGCCAGCAGCCGCGGUAAUACGGAGGAUCCGAGCGUUAUCCGGAUUUAUUGGGUUUAAAGGGAGCGUAGAUGGGUUGUUAAGUCAGUUGUGAAAGUUUGCGGCUCAACCGUAAAAUUGCAAUUGAUACUGGCAGUCUUGAGUACAGUUGAGGUAGGCGGAAUUCGUGGUGUAGCGGUGAAAUGCUUAGAUAUCACGAAGAACCCCGAUUGCGAAGGCAGCUUACUAAACUGUGACUGACAUUGAUGCUCGAAAGUGUGGGUAUCAAACAGGAUUAGAUACCCGAGUAGUC
rnacentral:rRNA from 1 species